CAUUAUGGUAGGGUGAAAGUGGGGACGCCUCUGUGCGUACUGGUUCUUGAGUCAGUCUGCUACUCCACUUUUGUCCUGUCACCA
rnacentral:antisense_RNA from 21 species